AUUGAACGCUGGCGGCAUGCCUUACACAUGCAAGUCGAACGGCAGCACGGGUGCUUGCCCCUGGUGGCGAGUGGCGAACGGGUGAGUAAUACAUCGGAACAUGUCCUGUAGUGGGGGAUAGCCCGGCGAAAGCCGGAUUAAUACCGCAUACGAUCUACGGAUGAAAGCGGGGGACCUUCGGGCCUCGCGCUAUAGGGUUGGCCGAUGGCUGAUUAGCUAGUUGGUGGGGUAAAGGCCUACCAAGGCGACGAUCAGUAGCUGGUCUGAGAGGACGAUCAGCCACACUGGGACUGAGACACGGCCCAGACUCCUACGGGAGGCAGCAGUGGGGAAUUUUGGACAAUGGGCGAAAGCCUGAUCCAGCAAUGCCGCGUGUGUGAAGAAGGCCUUCGGGUUGUAAAGCACUUUUGUCCGGAAAGAAAUCCUUGGCCCUAAUACGGUCGGGGGAUGACGGUACCGGAAGAAUAAGCACCGGCUAACUACGUG
rnacentral:rRNA from 1 species